ACCCUUUAAUGUUUGAUGUUCUAACGUGGACCCGUGAUCCGGGUUGCGGACAGUGUCUGGUGGGUAGUUUGACUGGGGCGGUCUCCUCCUAAAGAGUAACGGAGGAGCACGAAGGUUGGCUAAUCCUGGUCGGACAUCAGGAGGUUAGUGCAAUGGCAUAAGCCAGCUUGACUGCGAGCGUGACGGCGCGAGCAGGUGCGAAAGCAGGUCAUAGUGAUCCGGUGGUUCUGAAUGGAAGGGCCAUCGCUCAACGGAUAAAAGGUACUCCGGGGAUAACAGGCUGAUACCGCCCAAGAGUUCAUAUCGACGGCGGUGUUUGGCACCUCGAUGUCGGCUCAUCACAUCCUGGGGCUGAAGUAGGUCCCAAGGGUAUGGCUGUUCGCCAUUUAAAGUGGUACGCGAGCUGGGUUUAGAACGUCGUGAGACAGUUCGGUCCCUAUCUGCCGUGGGCGCUGGAGAACUGAGGGGGGCUGCUCCUAGUACGAGAGGACCGGAGUGGACGCAUCACUGGUGUUCGGGUUGUCAUGCCAAUGGCACUGCCCGGUAGCUAAAUGCGGAAGAGAUAAGUGCUGAAAGCAUCUAAGCACGAAACUUGCCCCGAGAUGAGUUCUCCCUGAGACUUAAAGUCUCCUGAAGGAACGUUGAAGACGACGACGU
rnacentral:rRNA from 1 species